rnacentral:rRNA from 1 species
UACGUAGGGUGCAAGCGUUGUCCGGAAUUAUUGGGCGUAAAGAGCUCGUAGGCGGUCUGUCGCGUCUGCUGUGAAAACUCGGGGCUUAACCCCGGGCCUGCAGUGGGUACGGGCAGACUAGAGUGCGGUAGGGGAGACUGGAACUCCUGGUGUAGCGGUGGAAUGCGCAGAUAUCAGGAAGAACACCGAUGGCGAAGGCAGAUCUCUGGGCCGUAACUGACGCUGAGGAGCGAAAGCAUGGGGAGCGAAACAGG